AGAGAGAGGUUUAUGGGUGAAAAGGAACAUAGGAAAUGAGGGGGGAGAGUGGGCUUGGGCAGAUGGGUGAAGGGAAAAUAGUCACAGAGUAACGCUGGAGUAACUCAGCGGGUCAGGCAGCAUCUGUGGAGAACAUGGAUAGAUUAUAUUUCGGGUCAAGACCGUUGUUCUUCAGUAAUAUUCAUGAUGUAACAUGCAUAGACAUUCCUGAAUGUUACCCAAACCAUCGUGAGUUACAUUGUUACGGUGCUUGCCCUCUCCUAUAACGUCUCUGCCGCCUUGGGUGAUGCAGGACAGGACACAAACUUUGGGUCACAGUGUGAAGCUGUUGUCGUCUGUCCCAG